UGCUCCCGCCCGCUGGCACAUCCGGGGCCAGACGGUCAAGGCGCGGCGCAGUCGCCUGGGAGGGAUCUGGAGCCCCAAGUCGGUGCGCCCGGGAAGGAGGCGCGGGCCCUGGCCGCCGGACCCCGAGUGUCCUUUGAGCCCACUGAGAGAAGAAACAGUUGGUUGCAGAGACUAGUCUGACUUAGAAGGAAGCAGAGUGUGACAAAUAGAGCCGGACUUUCACCUUUGCCUUAUCAGGAUCAGAGCAGGGUACCCCUGCUCAGGAUGAGUGACUUAUCAGAUGUCAUAGUCUGACUGAGCCAUACAUGGCACAUCCUCCCGGGACAUGAAACUGACUCAGAGUGUACCCAGCUGAUAAUGUUCCUGCCAGUUUGGCUGUCCCCGCCCUCUAGCACUAAGGAUCAGCCUGUGUGGAGGACAGAGUGAGUAAAAGGAAGAAUGACUGCAGUGAAUUACACAAGGAAGUGAAAGAAGAAAGAAACCAAGAAUGUGGAUGGAGGUGCAGGGGAGGAAGGACAUGUCAUAUCUUUGUUGGUUCUAUUUGCCUAUAAGGGGGAAAUUCCAGGAGGGAAGUGUUGUGAACAGAUAAAGUAAUGACCACAUUUCCAAUUCCGUGCAGGUGGACUAGCAGCUGAUGAAAAUAGUGGUGACAGUGCGAUGCUAGAAAGACCUGUAGAAAGUAAAUCUGCAGUUAGCACCCACUUCUCUGUCACCUUACAGAACUUCCUAGAACUCACCUAGCAGCUAACAGGCACGGAGUAGUCACUCACACAAUUGGAGCAAUGUGAAGAGCCAAGUUUUCACCGCUUCUUUCCUUCAUCAAAAAUGCCAGGAAAUGGGCUGGGGAUUUAGCUCAGUGGUUUCACCGCCUGCUGUGCAAGUGCAAGGACCCGAGUUUGAUCCUUGGUACCAAAAAAAAAAAAAAAAGAAAAAGAAAAUAACCACAGGUAGCCAUUCCUGCAUGUUGGUGAGGAUGAAAUGUAGCCAAAAUGGGAGAGCUGGUCAAGGCAUGACCACUAAGAAUUACCUAAGCGGACUGGGCUUUCAGAACCAGUCAGCAGGGAGAGGAGUUUUUUUGUGAUGUGUGGUACUGGGGAUUGAACCCAUGGCCUUCACAUUGGCUACAGCCCCAGCCCUUUGUUUAUUUUGAGACAGGAUCUCACUAAAUUGCCUAGAUAUAGACUAUUUUUUAGAUUCUUCCUGCCCUGGAGGAUUUUUAGAGCCUUAUUUCACUACUGGCUGGAAAUCCUCCUUAGUAAUUAAUUCAGCUGACCAUUUAUAAAGAAAGAGAAGGGAACAGACAGUGUUUGGUAAGCACUCACAAUGUGCUUUCCUUCACAUCUCAUAUAAUGUUCACAGAGACCAUGAGCUAGAUGCCACCUGUCUCCAGUGAGUUACAGAGGGAAGCCUGGUUAAAGUUCAGUAGUCCUGAGAUCCCACUGCUGGAAAAUGGUGUCCAGGAGCCUUAGGCUUAGGAGAGAGGACCCUAAAGCCUGGCUUCUCUUGGCGUACCAUGUAGCCUCCCCCUGUCCACCCAGUAGUUUAUGUCUCGUAGUCAAAACUCAGAGAAAUGCAGUGCUUAUUUGUGUAUCUGAUACACUCUGGCACAGCUGAUUCCCAAAGAAGCUUGAGGGAAGUUCUGGUCUUUAAAGGAGCCUUCAUUCUUCCCCGUGGGUGUCAGUCUUUCUACUGAAAUGGCUAUAAAGUGGUAUGUACUUGGCUUACAUCAGGAUGAAAGGUAUAAAGCAGCCACGCCCUAGUAACCAUAGGAACCUUCCCAGUUGGCUUCUCCCCCUGGGGAUUGCUGGAGGGCAGAGGAUCUGUCCUGGUUGCUGUCACCACCUCAUUCACCAUGGGAUCCUGCUGACUGCUGUCUCCCCUCCAUUACCCUAGCUAACAGUUUAUAGAAAAACACACUGCAGUUCUGCACUUGGCCCUUCCCAGGUAACAUAGGCAAAGGUGUGUUUGUGUACAGAUAACUCAGAAUUCAGAAGCUCUACUGAUUAUGCAUCAAGGACCAUGCCACUGUCACUCAUUCCCACUCAGUUGAUCGAUCGAUCGGUUUAUUCAUUCAUUCAUUCUGGGGAUUGAAUGUAUGAUACACAAGUGCUCUACUACUGAACUACACAUCCCCAGCCCUCCUACACCUUAGAAAAAAAAAUUUUUUUAAAUUUUGAUAUAGGGUUUAACGAAGUUCCCCAGACUGGCCUGGAACUUGUGAUUCCUGCCUCAGAUUCCAAGCAGCUGGGAAUACAGGUGUGUGCCACUACACCCAGCUCCAAAGGAUUCUCAAAGGCACUUCCAGUAGAGAACUUGUGUACAGGGCUGGGGAAUGUAGCUCAGUGGUGCUGCACCUGCCUGGCAAGCACAAGGGCCUGAGUGGGGGGCGGGGAGGCAGAGACAGUGAGAGAACUUGUGUACAUAAAACUCUGAUUAUCACAAAAAUUGUUUCUUUCUGCCCCCUGCUCUGGUGUCCAAAUCCAUUCAGAAAGGGGUUGCUGAACUCUAUAACCUCCCCAAGUGUCUUUCUGGGAAACUUAAUUGCUUUUCUUUCAGGGAUCAAAAGAUCAGUAAAGAUACUGAUCUUAAAAAAACAAAAA